rnacentral:misc_RNA from 1 species
GGGCCUUAUUCAAUCCCAUAUGACAAACACGCCAGCUUUUACUUGGCCUAACCGUCAGAAAGCGAAGCUUUUCGAUUUGGAAUUCCGAGGCCAAAAUUUCAAUGGAAGGGAUUUGGGAGUUUUAACCGAUUAUAGUGGGAUAAAUGGGGUUUCUGCGAUUUUCGAUAUUGGAAACAGAAUUGGACAAGCUGGGGCUGAUUUUGGGGCGGGCUUGAAUGGGUUAGUGCAGCAGU